rnacentral:rRNA from 1 species
GGAUCAAUAUAAUGGUCAUGCCGUUGGUAUGCACUGUUAUAAUUGGUUUCUCACCUUCUAAAGAACCGUAAUGCCAUUAAUUUGGUGUCACGGGGAAUUAGGACUGUUACCUUGAAAAAAUUAGAGUGUUUAAAGCAGGCAUUUUUGCUUGAAUACAUUAGCAUGGAAUAAUGAAAUAGGACAUCCGAUUCUAUUUUGUUGGUUUCUAGGAUCGAUGUA